rfam:Acidobacteria bacterium RIFCSPLOWO2_02_FTLL_65_29 rifcsplowo2_02_scaffold_558, whole genome shotgun sequence.
CAGCAACGACCACCGCGAACCUGACCGUCAAGAUCACCAUGGGUCAGGGUCCAAAUCACCAAGAGCGGCGCCGGUCCAAUGACCGGGGUCGUGAGCGUCUUGGAAAAAGCGAGACGUACUCGUCAGA